AGAGUUUGAUCCUGGCUCAGAACGAACGCUAGCGGCGCGUUUCAGGCAUGCAAGUUGAACGGUAACAGGGGAGCUUGCUCCCGCUGACGAGUGGCGCACGGGUGAGUAACGCGUAGGUAAUCUACCCAAAGGACUUCGAUAGCCCUACGAAAGUAGGAUUAAUAGGGGAUGUGGUGUAUUAUACAAAAGUAAAAUACAUUAAAGAAUGUUUUCGGACAUAUCACCUUUGGAUGGGCCUGCGUUGGAUUAGUUAGUUGGUGAGGUAACGGCUCACCAAGACUGCGAUCUAUAGCCGAGCUGAGAGGCUGAUCGGCCACAUUGGAACUGAGACACGGUCCAGACUCCUACGGGAGGCAGCAGCUAAGAAUCUUCCGCAAUGGACGAGAGUCUGACGGAGCGACGCCGCGUGAAUGAUGAAGGCCUUUUGGGUUGUAAAGUCCUUUUAUAGGGGACGAAUGUAUAAUGCAGGUUAUAUUGACGGUACCCUAAGAAUAAGGUCCGGCUAACUACGUGCCAGCAGCCGCGGUAAUACGUAGGGACCUAGCGUUGUUCGGAAUUAUUGGGCGUAAAGGGUACGUAGGCGGCUUGGUAAGUCAUAUGUGAAAGCCUUGGGCUCAACCUAAGGAUUGCGUGUGAUACUGUCAAGCUAGAGUUACUGAGAGGAAGGCGGAAUUUCUGGUGUAGGGGUGAAAUCUAUAGAUAUCAGAAAGAACAUCCGUUGCGAAGGCUGCCUUCUGGCAGUUAACUGACGCUGAGGUACGAAAGUUAGGGUAGCAAACAGGAUUAGAGACCCUGGUAGUCCUAACUGUAAACGUUGUAUACUAGGUGGUGGGAGCAUUGAUCCUUUCACUGCCGCAGCUAACGCAUUAAGUAUACCGCCUGGGGAGUAUGCCGGCAACGGUGAAACUCAAAGGAAUUGACGGGUCCCCGCACAAGCAGUGGAGCAUGUUGCUUAAUUCGAUGCUACGCGAGGAACCUUACCAGGUCUUGACAUAUAUUUGACGCUUAUGGAAACAUAAGUUCUUUUUUAAGCAGAUAUACAGGUGCUGCAUGGUUGUCGUCAGCUCGUGCCGUGAGGUGUUGGGUUAAGUCCCGCAACGAGCGCAACCCCUAUUCUUUGUUGCUAACGGGUAACGCUGAGCUCUCUAAGAAAACUGCCGGUGACAAACCGGAGGAAGGUGGGGAUGACGUCAAAUCAGCACGGCCUUUAUGACCUGGGCUGCAAACGUGCUACAAUGGGUGGUACAAAGAGUCGCUAAACCGCGAGGUCAAGCUAAUCUCAAAAAACCAUCCUAAGUUCGGAUUGGAGUCUGAAACCCGACUCUAUGAAGCUGGAAUUGCUAGUAAUCGCACAUCAUCAUGGUGCGGUGAAUACGUUCCCGGGGAUUGUACACACCGCCCGUCACAUCACCCGAGUUGAAUAUACCCGAAGUACCUGAGCUAACAGAUUUUCUGGGGCAAGGUCCUAAGGUAUGCUUGGCAAGGGGGAUGAAGUCGUAACAAGGUA
rnacentral:rRNA from 1 species